GUAAACGGGAGACAACGCCACAAAUUUUGAGAUCCCGCUCACAUUUUUUCGCUAAAUUCUAAUCUCCCACCCAAUCUCUUACUAAAAAAUUUUCACACUAGAUCUCUCAUCUCUGCGACUCGGCCAGUCCGCCUCCAACUCUCUCGGUCUCUCCCAGAAAUCGAUCUUCCUCAUCCUCAGCCCUCAGUCAGUCAGCCGGUCUUCCUCAGCCCCAGUCACUCAGCCCCCAGAAAUCGGGAAGAGAAAGAUCCGGCUGCACAGAGCUUGAAGCCUGACCUCCGAGGAAGAUCUGGCUCUCGCCGUCGUCCGAUACACCUCCGAGCAAGCCUGGGCCGACGCCGGCGCUGAGAUUUUGAUUUUGAUUCUGGCCAAGAAAGUGAAUUUGCAGGGAGUCCCUAUAUAUAGGAUCUUCCGUGGCUCCACCUCCGAAAAGGCCAAUUGCGAUUCAUCUUCUUCUUCGCUCAUCUUGUUCUCUUCCUCAUUCUUCUGGUAA